rnacentral:lncRNA from 1 species
AGCAGCUUCAGAAGGUCCAGCUUCAUCGUCAGAUGCUUCAUCCAGGAAGCUGAGGUCGAGUUCGAGAAAUUUUCUGACCACCUUCUCCUGGCAAAGAUCGAAGUCUUUGAUAAAGGCGGCCUGGCUGAACUUGAUAUUCAGAUCCCUCAUCUCGGAGGAGAUCUUGAACUCCUCUACUGCUUGGGCCCUUGCCUCCGAGACU